UACGUAGGCAGCGAGCGUUGUUCGGAAUUACUGGGCGUAAAGAGUGUGUAGGCGGUGCUCCAAGUCUGUUGUGAAAUCUCCCGGCUUAACCGGGAGGGUGCAGCGGAAACUGGAAUGCUUGAGGGUGGGAGAGGUAAGCGGAAUUCCUGGUGUAGCGGUGAAAUGCGUAGAUAUCAGGAGGAACACCGAUGGCGAAGGCAGGUCUCUGGGCCACUACUGACGCUGAGAAGCGAAAGCAUGGGGAGCGAACAGG
rnacentral:rRNA from 1 species